rnacentral:rRNA from 1 species
CCUACGGGAGGCAGCAGUGAGGAAUAUUGGUCAAUGGGCGCGAGCCUGACCCAGCCAAGCCGCGUGAAGGAAGACUGCCCUACGGGUUGUAAACUUCUUUUAUAAAGGAAUAAAGUGAUGCACGUGUGCCUUUUUGUAUGUACUUUAUGAAUAAGGAUCGGCUAACUCCGUGCCAGCAGCCGCGGUAAUACGGAGGCUCCGAGUGUUAUCCGGAUUUAUUGGGUUUAAAGGGAGCGGAGAUGGGUUGUUAAGUCAGUUGUGAAAGUUUGCGGCUCAACCGUAAAAUUGCAAUUGAUACUGGCAAUCUUGAGUACAGUUGGGGUAGGCGGAAUUCGAGGUGUAGCGGUGAAAUGCUUAGAUAUCACGAAGAACUCCGAUUGCGAAGGCAGCUUACUAAACUGCCACUGACAUUGAUGCUCGAAAGUGUGGGUAUCAAACAGGAUUAGAUACCCCUGUAGUC